rnacentral:rRNA from 1 species
UACGGAGGGCGCAAGCGUUGUUCGGAAUCAUUGGGCGUAAAGCGCGUGUAGGCGGUCUGGUCAGUCGGGUGUGAAAGCCCGGAGCUCAACUCCGGAACUGCACUCGAUACUGCCAGGCUAGAGUCCCGGAGAGGGUGGUGGAAUUCCCGGUGUAGAGGUGAAAUUCGUAGAUAUCGGGAGGAACACCAGUGGCGAAGGCGGCCACCUGGACGGUGACUGACGCUGAGACGCGAAAGCGUGGGGAGCAAACAGG